UACGGCCAUAUGUUAAAACAUCGAUUCUCGUACAGUUCACCGAAGUUAAGAAACGUAGAGCCUGAUCAGUAACUAGAUGGGUGACCGCUUGCGAAUAACAGGUGCUGUAA